rnacentral:misc_RNA from 1 species
GAUGAAGAACGUAGCGAAAUGCGAUACGUAAUGUGAAUUGCAGAAUUCAGUGAAUCAUCGAAUCUUUGAACGCACAUUGCGCCCGCCAGCACUCUGGCGGGCAUGCCUGUUCGAGCGUCAUUUCAACCAUCAAGCCCCAGGCUUGCGUUGGAGCCCUGCGGCUGCCGCAGCCUCCUAAAAGCAGUGGCGGGCUCGCUAUCACACCGAGUGCAGUAGAUUACUCUUCGCUCAGGGCGUGCAGCGGGUUCCGGCCGUGAAACCCCCUACUUUUAAAGGUUGACCUCGGAUCAGGUAGGAAUACCCGUUGAACUUAAGCAUAUCAAUAAGCGGAGGA